rnacentral:piRNA from 6 species
UCUAGUGGUUAGGAUUCGGCGCUCU